GAACCAGCGCGAAGGGGAGCUCGAAGGACAGGAUCAUCUGCAUGGCAACCCAAAAUCAGGUGCGGAAAUUCACCAAAUCUGUGAAUUCUGUCUCGCUAGAUGGAAAAUUUUCCAAAUCUGUCUGUGUUCUCGCUUCUUAAUCAUCUCUUGGGAAAAAGAAGGCUACAAAUAGAACGGAUCCAGCAAAAGCCACGUGGAAAUCAUAGUUUUGACUUGGAUAUCGCAGUGAAAUAUUGGUGUGAACAAUUUGAGGAUCAUAAUCUGGCCCACUUUGUGUGGGUAAAAUCCAAGCCGGCGGAAGAAUGAUAAACGAUGGUAAUGGGUCCAAUUACUGAGGCUAUGAUGAUCAAUUUGCCUGCUCCAGCGGAGCCGCCGAUUAUUGCGACAAUGAGGCUGGGAACUAUAGCCAGAGACCGGGUCAGGAGAUUCCGGAUCCAUGGUUUUAUCCUCAGAUUGAGGAACCCCUGCAACAAAAAGGAAACAAAAAGCGAGUGAUGUGUAUGAAAAAUCUUUAUAAGUAGCAUCCGCCCUGUAUGUUAACCAUAGAAUCCCUUGAUCCGGGUUGUGGAAAAAUAUUAAGUCGAUCAAAAUCAUAUGGGAAGAUGGUAAGAUUUAGGGUGGUUCAAGAAUCAAGAACCGCGUUGUGUUUUAUGGGAGAACAAUAAGGGAGGAUAUGGUGUGGCAUAGCUUUUCAGGGGGUAUUAUAUCUAUACCUGCAUCACAUAUUGCCCAGCGUAUGUUCCUGUGAUCGUAGAGCUCUGACCAGAGGCCAGCAGUGCGAUAGCAAACACCUUGGAGCUCCAAUUUCCCAGAACAUUCUGCAGAAUAUGGAUCACGGAAAACAAAUAAAUAAAUAUUUUUAUAAUUAUUAAUCAUUUAAACUAUUUCUCCCCCUCCCCCUCUUUUUUUUUUUACCUUUUAAUCAACUUACACUCACCAAAUGAUGUCUUCUCCUAAUACUCCUCAGCACAGAUUUUGUAUGAAAUCCUCUUCAGAGUAUCACAAUACUUUAUGGAUACUAGGAAAUAAUCAUUAUGUUUAUAUAUGUUGUUUGAUUCAUGAAACCCCCCAGCAUCAGAAGAGUUUUUUGUUUUGUCGACAGAAAGAACAUUAGAUCAAAGAUUAAUUCUGAAGAUUCAAGCUGCCUACUUUGAGUAAGAAUGAGGCUUUGUUGAGAUCCAGGCUCUCACAGCUCUUCUUAUCUUCUGCGUUCAAAUUUGGUGAGCUGCAGACGGCGCCGCUGACGGAGAUGACAGAAACGUUGAUCAAGAAGGCUAUCGAGAGGGCAGCCGCACUCUCUAUGGCGUAGAAUCUGCAUGCGUCCUGCAACCACAUCACGUCACUCAUGAGCCAGGCCAUUAUGAACAUCAGCCUAGGAAAUAUCCCCCAUCAUGCAGCCAUUUUUUCAUUGCUCCGGCGAUCUUCAGUUCCGAUCUUACCUUGAUGCCUUGAACAGAUCUGGGCACUUUCCUCGAGAGCACCAGCGCGGAAUGCAGGAAGAGAUUGUGCCUGAGAUCGAUUGAUUUCCUUAUUUAUUUAUUUAUUUCUCCAGAAAGAGGCCAGUGGGAGAAGAUGAACACCAUAAGAGAGCUUACGGCAUAACCAUGGCGCCGAGGAGGGAGAUGGCGAGCCCGGUGGCCCCAUUCCCUUUCAGCUGGGGCACGAAGAGCCCUCUCACGACUUCCGAAGGGUCAGGUUUUGCGUAGCCGAGCUCCACGAAGAAGCAGGCGGCCAUGGUGAGCACGAGGAAGGCUAUGAACGACUCGAGCUUCCUCACCUGCAGAGGUAAUCAAAAACCGCCCGGCAGAGCUCAUCAGCCCUCUUCUACUCCAUGCACUUAUCUAAUAAACGCAGAUUUUUUUUUAAUUUUUUUUAUGGGAUUCUACUGAAUAAUGGGUCAAUGAUCAUCUUGCUUUUAUGACAUCAGAUAGAAUUUAUUCAGUAUUUUCGUACCCCAUAUUGCUGUAGGAAGAGAAGCAUCAGCGUACUAAACCCAGCGAUGAGAACACCACACCACACAGGAAUGCCAAAGAGCAUAUUCAAAGCAAAGGCCGUUCCUAUCACUGAAAUAGGAAAGAAAAACCAGUUUAACUCUGAGAAAAAUAUUCAUCCCAUCAUCAUCAUUUGCCGAAUCAAAUCCGCAUGUUUGUGCAUAAUCAAGACCAUGCCAUCUUCUUCUUUUUUCUCUCUCUCUCUCUCUCUCUCAUUAAAAAGUUUUUUCUAUUUCCUUUUAUGGAAUGGCAGCAUAAACUGAUCUGACCCAUGAUGAUCUGCCGGUGCAAGAUCAGAUCAUGUGAAUGGCAUAUGAACGAUGCGGAAGACAAAAAAAAAAAGAAAAAAAAGAGGGAUACAGAUGAAAGAGGAUGAAAGACCUUCAGGUAUGUCGCAUGCGACCACUGCCACCUCAGCCAGCAUCCAGAGUAUGAAGUUUGUGGCGCAUGCAUAUUCUGCUCUGCAGUGCUCCGCUAGAUGCUUCCCUGCCACAUCCCCCUCCAUGAUCAUCAAAACGGUUCAUGCAUGCAUGCAUAUAUAAUACCAUUUUUAGCCUUUGAUAACUUCUAAUUGCGGCAGUAUUAUCCACAGACCUGUGACAACCCCAAGAUUAGCAGCCAGAGAUUGAAUGACGAGGGCGGAGCAGGAUGCCACCAGGAUUAUCCACAGCAGCUGAACAAAACG
rnacentral:lncRNA from 1 species